CCUACGGGGGGCAGCAGUGAGGAAUAUUGGUCAAUGGGCGUAAGCCUGAACCAGCCAAGUCGCGUGAGGGAUGAAGGUUCUAUGGAUCGUAAACCUCUUUUAUAAGGGAAUAAAGUGCGGGACGUGUCCCGUUUUGUAUGUACCUUAUGAAUAAGGCUCGGCUAACUCCGUGCCAGGCGCCGCGGUAAUACGGAGGGUCCGGGCGUUAUCCGGAUUUAUUGGGUUUAAAGGGUGCGUAGGCGGCCUUUUUAGUCAGCGGGGAAAGUCUGUGGCUCAACCAGAGAAUGGCCGUUGAAACUGGGAGGCUUGAGUAUGUUUGAGGCAGGCGGAAUGCGUGGUGUAGCGGUGAAAUGCUUAGAUAUCACGCAGAACCCCGAUUGCGAAGGCAGCCUGCCAGGCCAUGACUGACGCUGAGGCACGAAAGCGUGGGGAUCAAACAGGAUUAGAUACCCCAGUAGUC
rnacentral:rRNA from 1 species